AUUCUAAUGCAAACGUCUCUUCUAUGUCUUAAUAAAAAAUAAAUAAAUAAAUAAAUAAAUGUUCGGACUUGACGUUCGCCGAAUUUUAAUAUAUUUAAAGCCUUUAUGGUGGUUAAUAUUUCUGACAAAAUCUCUCUUUUUUGUCAUUUUAGAGAGUCUGAAUGUUGUCUGAAAGUUAUCUGUUCGUCCGUGUGUAUCGUUUAAAAAUUGGGUUACUAGCUUCAAUACCUUAUUUAUCCAGUAGGGGGCUCCACGCCCGGCCAAACAUUAUCCUCGCAAUUCAAAUAAUGGUUAUAAGUCCGAUUUUUCUCAUUUCCUUUCCUGCAUAAUCAACGUUGCAUUUAUUCCAAUAUAAUGUAAACGUAUCUCAAAGGAGAGUAAUACUUAAAUAAAAGUCCAAGAAGUACUUCCGUUUGGAAAAUAUGAAUUUUCUGCAGAGUAACGUCUCUUCCCAACUCGGAUUUCUGCAGUUAAAAAGCAACGCAAGUGAUGGGAUCUACCUUGUUCGGUAAGUUAUUAGUAUCCAUACUUAUUUCUGUCAUAUUCUAACCAGGCACGUGGUUAAAGCGUAAAAAGCCACAUAACUUGUUGCUGAUGCCUUUUGUGUGCGUUUGUAUCACGCUAAGCUUCGUCCUCCUUCGUAUCGAGCACGUGCCGAUACUAUGACUUCUCAACCUCUAUUAUAAAGCUUGACCUGACCAGAAAUAUUUAUCUACGUGAAGUGUCCUGCUCUUUUUUUCCCUUAAUGUUACUUGUCCUAAGCCACCGAGUCAACAUAACUGGGAAGUAGGUAAUCGGGAGAGUUCGUGGACGGACCGCUUCGUUCAUAUACUGAGGGCUUUGAAAAAACAUGAUGUUUUCUCCUCAGUCUACUACUGAGGAGAAGUUUAGCUGCUGGCAACGAGUAAAGCUGAAUGCGAAUUAACUUUUUCAGCGCAUAAAAUUAUAACAUUUAAAAACUUGAGUUCUACAUUGUCCUUUUUAAAAAGCCAGAUUAAAGAAAAUAAAUGUAUUAAUACUUUGUAUUGCUAAAUGUGCAAAGCUUACUGACAUUUUCCAACACAGCCAUGAGAAGAGGCAGCUGGUAAUGGGAGUUACACCAUUUAUUGGAUCAUCAACUACAAAAUAAUAUGCAGCUCUACAUAUUAAUAGCACAACAUUUGUUGGUAUCACAGCACAAGCUACUGGGUGAUGUUCUGCUUAAUUCAGUGUUAGUUAAUUUGCCAAUUAGAUCUAAUGUUUAUCUUAUUAUUUCAAGGUCCUUCAAAGAGUUGUUGAUGCUGAUGGCUGUGAGCAGGAAGGACCUCCUGUAGCAGUCUGUGUUACAGCCUCUGACUGAAGACACUGUUUUUCUGAUGAAGAGGACGCUCCGAGUUGGUCAUACUCUUUCUUAAUGGACAUUAUUAUGUUUAUGUUUGAAUGUUUCCUUUAAUAUAUUUGAUUAAAGUAAUGAUUGUUUUUUCUCAUAUGUAAUUUCAGGUGACAACUUGAAAGUCAUACAGAAAUGUUGUCUGGCUGAAGAUGUCAGACCUCAAAGCAGAAGCCCAAGAGGAUCAGGUGAACUGAGAUCUAUUCAGAUUUUUAGGAAAAGCCACAGAUCCAGAAAAUCUACCCCAUGACCAGCAGCUCCAGCAGCCACAGCCUCCCACCUGUCCUCCAUCUUCACCAUCUCAUCCAGCAGCUGCUCUGUGUUCACCUGUAGCUGUUUAGUCCAACCAGUAACUCCACUAACUGACUCCCUUCAACUGGAAAUUCCUCUAUCAGGUAAAUUUAACCAACAUGUAAAAAGUGACUACACUUUGUGUAUGUAUCAUAUUUUUAAUUUAAUUAUUUAUAGAUGUAAGGCAUUUUUGGAUUUGAUUAGUUGACGAUAUGAAUAAGAGAGUUAAAUGCAAAUAAAGGUUUGUGUGGUGGGAGUUUUGUCUGUUUUAGUUUUCCUGCGUUAAUCCAGGUGAGCUGCAGCAGAGACUCAUCUAAAGCAGGACAGAGGGUCCUGACCUGCAGGGCUGAACACCCCCAGUCUAUAUUAUAAUAAAUUAUUAUUUUACAUUACAGCGUUUUUUUAUCAUUCUUUGCAGACUGAAGCAUUCUGUGUAACGUCUUCAAAGCCUUAAGGAGCUGAAGAAGUUUGCCUGGGAAACCCCGGGAUGCUGCGAGCCGUUCUGACCCGUCUGACAGUCACUGGUUCUGCUGAAGAGAUGGACUCACUGGAUGAGCUCGGCCUUCCAGCCUCCACUGCAGAAAAAUUAGAAGUCCUGAACCAAAAACUGGAAUCAGGAGUUGUUCAGAAAUAAAUAUUGGAUCUCCAGGGACCUGAUCUGCUGUCUACAACAUUUUAUCCAAAAUCCUCUCUCAAACCACCAAGCAGAGCAGCAGAGAUCUAUUCAGACUGGGUGGAGAGAGAAGUCUUUCUGGUCACCAGUUCUUGGUGACUGAAAUAUUUAAUCUCAUCCAUCCAUUUUCUAUACAGCCUUGUCCCUUAGUGGGUUCAGGAGGGUUGCUG